rnacentral:rRNA from 1 species
CCUACGGGUGGCAGCAGUGGGGGAUAUUGGGCAAUGGGCGCAAGCCUGACCCAGCAACGCCGCGUGAACGAAGAAGGCUUUCGGGUUGUAAACUUCUUUUGUCAGGGACGAAGCAAGUGACGGUACCUUACGAAUAAGCCACUGCUAACUACGUGCCAGCAGCCGCGGUAAUACGUAGGUGGCAAGCGUUAGCCGGAUUUACUGGGUGUAAAGGGCGUGUAGGCGGGACUGCAAGUCAGAUGUGAAAACCACGGGCUCAACCUGUGGCCUGCAUUUGAAACUGUAGUUCUGGAGUACUGGAGAGGCAGACGGAAUUCCUAGUGUAGCGGUGAAAUGCGUAGAUAUUAGGAGGAACACCAGUGGCGAAGGCGGUCUGCUGGACAGCAACUGACGCUGAGGCGCGAAAGCGUGGGGAGCAAACAGGAUUAGAUACCCCAGUAGUC